UCGGAAUCGAUAUCAGAAAUCGCCUCGUCAUAGGUUUUGGGAUCUUGUAUGUGAUCCCUAUCUCCCACUAGGAACAUUUCCUCGGUAUCCUCUUCUAGUAUACCUAAGUAUCUAUCGGGAGGAUGGGAGACCCUACUAGAUCUGCGAGGUGAUUGAGAGACAUCGUGUACUGGCUUAAUAUAAAUAGGUUCUAUAGGCACAAUGGUUCGUUGCUAUUUAGAGACUUUCUCUUCAAGCUCAA
rnacentral:lncRNA from 1 species